UACGUAGGCAGCAAGCGUUGUUCGGAGUUACUGGGCGUAAAGGGUGUGUAGGCGGUCUUCUAAGUUUGGUGUGAAAUCUCCCGGCUCAACUGGGAGGGUGCGCCGAAAACUGGGAGGCUAGAGUGCGGGAUGGGAGAGUGGAAUUCCUGGUGUAGCGGUGAAAUGCGUAGAUAUCAGGAGGAACACCUGUGGUGUAGACGGCUCUCUGGACCGCAACUGACGCUGAAACACGAAAGCGUGGGUAGCAAACAGG
rnacentral:rRNA from 1 species